UCCCACGAGUGUGGCCAACUGUUCACGAAGUUCUGAGUCUCCGCUCGCGUCGGUUUGCUCAGGGACACCACCUGUCCCCGCCCGCGCCGAUCUAGACGAAGAUCGCCUACGCGGUGCCAUCGUUUCCUGAAAUAAGACAACUCGAUUAGUUCUCGACCAACUUGGGUCGAACACGAGACCACUAACACCGGCUCAAAAGCC
rnacentral:lncRNA from 1 species